rnacentral:rRNA from 1 species
GACGAACGCUGGCGGCGUGCUUAACACAUGCAAGUCGAACGGGAGUAUUGAAGAAGCUUGCUUUAGAGAUACUUUAGUGGCGGACGGGUGAGUAACGCGUGAGGAGCUGUCCUAUGCAGGGGGACAACAGCUGGAAACGGCUGCUAAUACCCCAUAAGCCGAGAGGUAAAAGGAUCAAUCCGGCAGAGGAGGUACUCGCGUCCUAUCAGCUAGUAGGUGAGGUAACGGCUCACCUAGGCGAAGACGGGUAGCCGGCCUGAGAGGGCGAACGGCCACACUGGAACUGAGAUACGGUCCAGACUCCUACGGGAGGCAGCAGUGGGGAAUAUUGGGCAAUGGGGGAAACCCUGACCCAGCGACGCCGCGUGGGUGAAGAAAUCCUUCGGGAUGUAAAGCCCUGUUGUAUGGGAAGAGCGGAAGACGGUACCAUACGAGGAAGCCCCGGAAACUACGUG